rnacentral:rRNA from 1 species
AUUGAACGCUGGCGGCAGGCCUAACACAUGCAAGUCGAGCGGAGCGACUGACGGGUGAGUAAUGCCUAGGAAUCUGCCUGGUAGUGUGGGAUAACGUCCGGAAACGGGCGCUAAUCCCGCAUCCUAUCAGAUGAGCCUAGGUCGGAUUAGCUAGUUGGUGGGGUAAAGGCCUACAAAGGCGACGAUCCGUAACUGGUCUGAGAGGAGGAUCAGUCACACUGGAACUGAGACAGGGUCCAGACUCCUACGGGAGGCAGAAGUGGGGAAUAUUGGACAAUGGGCGAAAGCCUGAUCCAGCCCUGCCGCGUGUGUGAAGAAGGUCUUCGGAUUGUAAAGCACUUUAAGUUGGGAGGCGUUACCAACAGAAUAAGCACCGGCUAACUUCGUGCCAGCAGCCGCGGUAAUAC